UACGUAGGGAGCAAGCGUUGUCCGGAAUCAUUGGGCGUAAAGCGCGCGUAGGUGGCUUCGUAAGUCCGUUGUGAAAGUCAAAGGCUCAACCUUUGAAAGCCGAUGGAUACUGCGGAGCUAGAGUACGGAAGAGGCGAGUGGAAUUCCUGGUGUAGCGGUGGAAUGCGCAGAUAUCAGGAGGAACACCAAUAGCGAAGGCAGCUCGCUGGGACGUUACUGACACUGAGGCGCGAAAGCGUGGGGGAGCGAACAGG
rnacentral:rRNA from 1 species